rnacentral:lncRNA from 1 species
GAAUGGAUAAAGAAUAUGUAAUGUAUAUAGUAAAUACAUAUUACUAUAUAUUAUAUAAUUUAAUAGUAUAAUUAUUAUAAUUUAUAAUAAAUUAAGUUUAUUAUUAUAUUAUACAUAUGUAUAUACAAUGGAAUACUACUCAGCCAUAUAAAAAACAAAAUCUUAACCAUUUGCAAUGUGGAUGAAACUUGAGUGUAUUAUACUAAAUGAUACAGACAGAGAAAGACAAAUGCCAUAUGAUUUCACUUAGGUGUGCAAUCUAAAAAACAAAUGCACAAACAAAAGAAAACAAAGCAAACCUCAUAGAGACAGAGAACAGAAUGGUGAUUGUGAAGACUCAGUUUUGAAUCCUAAAAACAAUUAAGCAUCUGAGGAAAAAUCAUAAUGCUCUAUACAUAAGUAUAUAAGUAAAUAAGUCAUCAUUUAUAAGAUAUAAAAAUCCCUACAAAUUUAGAUGUGAGAUUGUGUUUAACUCCUCCCAAACAAGUUGGUGGAGCCCAACCUGCAAUUUUUACAAAAGAAACUAUUUUCUCCCUUAUUCUGUAUUUUCCAAAACAAAAAAAAAAAAAAAAAAAGAUUGGCUUCGUACAAAAUAAAUCCUUCUCUGCUUUCAGGAAACGUGCAUGGUCUACCCGCUUUAUCCAAGGCAAGAAUCCAGUUUGGAAUACAAAAAUGAGUCAAGCAUUGGUUUUUGUUACCAGCCACAAAGUAAACUUCAUUUUCAGGCAGUGUUUCUGGGGGAGGUUGCAGGAGGGGAGAAAAAGAAAAAUCGAUAGUGAGUGACUGAUUGCUUCAUUUUAUCAGGCGGGCCCAUUGUGAAAGAGCUCAGAGGAAAUGUGGAGGUUAAAUAUAUUUCCAGAGUUGUCCAACAGAAAGUGGCACUUUGAAGAGAACCAGGGAAAUAUAUAUCUUCAGAAGCCCCUGUAUAGUUCUCUGCCUUCAGUUUUAAUAACUUAAUUAGGAGGAAUUAUUUGUGCUGACAGCAGCAGUUAAACUUUGUUCCUCUAAUAGCUUUUUUUUUUUAACAUAAAGAAAAUAAUCUGGGAACUUAAUGGUGUAUGCAUAGACUGUGUCUUACCACACAAAUACCCACAUGCAUACAGAGGAUAUCUCCACUCUAGACUGGUUUUGUUUUCACUAGCUCAUUUGUUUAUCAAAUCAUAUUUAAGGUCCCACACCCUCUUCUCUUAUAAUUUAUUACAGAAAAUACCAGUUUGACCUGGACAGCUUUUUCUCCCUCUUUCACUAAGGAAGCCAAAUGAACUGGGGAAAAAAAAAAUUGCUAUUUUCUAUCCUUCCUUUUCUCCCUUUGUUAAUAGUUUUAAGUGCGUUUUUUACCUUAUCUUGAUGGAAAAUGGUUAACUCCCAUAACAAAAGACUCUACUGGGAAGUGUAGGUGAAAAAAAAACUUCUAACUGUAUUGAAAAUAAAUACCAUUAAACUGUGAUCAGUUAAAACAUUUAAAAAUAAUCAGCACAAAAGGGCGCUCAAAGGGAAAACACUUUUUAUUAAUCUUCAAAGUUUGGGGCUUUUUUCUGGUUAAAUAUUAGGCAAAUUUUUCUUUUAAGACAUUAAAUUCUCAAUACCAUAAAAUUAUGGUUCAGCAUCAGAUUAGCAUUGCACUCAGUAGUUAAGGUUUUAGGAAAUAUGCUUUAUAUUGUCUCUUCAAACACCUAUGAUUGUUUCAUUUUCAAUGUUUUUGCAAGAUAAAUGAUGACUUAUAAUGGGCAUAUUUAUUUGCCUGUAUUUCAUUUCCCCCAACGAAUGUCACAAGGAGAUGGGCACGGAGCUGCUGCUUCGGGGUGCAUCACGCUGCUUGUUCCUGAGGUGUGGGGACUGGCCUUUAGUGAAGCAAUCCAGAGCAGGGCAGAUAGCCAAUGGUAAAGGGAGGAAAUGAAUUUUCAGAUUCUUAUUACCAAGUGGGUAAGGUCAGAUGCUGGAGUUCAGGGGACGAGUCUAUAGCUCCUCUAACUCUCAUAGGUUUACUAAGAUGAAAGUUACCACUGAACCUUACCACGAUGUAUAUAUGUUUAAUAUCUGUCUUUUGAAAUGCAGAAAUAGUUUAAAUGUUUCUUUGUCUAUUUUUCUUUUUUUUUAAUGCUACCCAGGGAAAUAUUUUCAUAUCAUUUUUAAGUGGCCUGCCUCAAUGUAUAUUUAUUUCUUUUAAAGCAAAAAGGUUCUGGAAACUGUUUUUCUGUAGCUUUAAAUGAGUAGAUGAGCAAAAUCUAUAUGGGAUGUAAUUUUUUUUUUUGUUCAGUCUCUUUAAGAAUACUUUGUUUUGGUACAUUUGGUUGUGCUUGUGGGGAAAAUAAAAACGCAGAGAUCCUUAUAUAUUUAUGUUAAAGUAAUAUUUUAUUAUCUACAUAAAACAGAAAUGCACAAUACCUUCAUAGUUUGUUCUAAUUAUUGAAAUAUCUUUAUUUUAUUUUUAAAGAUAGUGCCAAGUUUUAAGGGGGGGGGAGAAAACCCUAGACCUUAUACUGACUGAGUUGAGUUGUGUGUAAAAUACUUCCCUUCCUUUAUACUUCAUAAAGUUUUGGAAUAAAUUUUAUGCGUAUACUGCCAGGUUUCAUGUUUAUAACUUUCAGAGCUUUUCUUUUCUUUUCUUUUCUUUUCUUUUUUUAAGAGACUACUGUUCUGAUUCUAAUUCACUUUUCUUUGCAAAAAACUAUCAGUUCCAGACCUUUCAGUCACUACACCUAUAGCAUUAAAUUGAAAUGGUCAUUGGGUUUGAGCCUCGAUUUGUUUGCCAUUUCAUGGUCCGACAAAGAGAUGUUUGUCCCCUUUAAAUAUAUGCAGAUAUCCCUACGUCUUCUUCUUUCCAGGUUACCUUUACCUUGACUGAUUGUGCUUUUUUUUUUUUUUUUUUUUUUUUUUGGAGAGCAUCAAUGGAACUAGGUGGACUUUAAUCUUUACCCACAUGUUCUCACAAAAUUUGGGAUCUUAAAAGCAAAGCUUAGUUAAAGGUAUUCUUUUUAAUCAUUAACAAAUACCUUUCAACAAAGAAUAACUCUGACAAUGUGCAAGAUGUGUGUUUACCAAGUGAUUAUUGGUGGGUCCCAUGUAUGAUGCCUGUUAGGUUUACAGAAAAAAAAAUGGAUUUUGCAAUGGUUUAUAUACUAGUGUCUUUUUCUCUUCGGGCAAGCAAAUAGGCUCCAAAGCAGGGCGAGAGAGAAAAAAAAAGAAAAAAAAAAAAACGAAAGAAAGAAUGUAUGGAAGACACUCAAGGCUGUGAUGCUAAUAGCAGAUUGUUUCAGAUAUUCUUAGAGGGAACAGUAUACUUACCAAAAUCAGCUUAAGGUUAGUGCCACAUCCAAGCAGUGUUGGGUUAGUUUACAAGUUUGCUGAUGUAUUUAAAGUCCUCCUUGGAACAUUGGUUUAAGUAUAAAUGUCCAUUUUGAAAGGCAGUUUCUGGGCUUAUUACAUCUGAUCAUCUUUUCUAACUCCUAGUCAAUAUUACACAGGUCCCAAACAGAUUCAGCCAAAUGAUCUUAUCAAUAGUCUGAACGAGAAGUGACAGAAAGAAGAAGUGUUUUGUGACCGCAGACAUGCUGAUGGGUAAAAUGUUUAAGCUGGGUAUAGAUUUGAGUUCUGGGUCAAUAUCCUCCUCCAUUGUAGGCAGAAAACAAGCAGCAUCUGCCCUCUGCAGGGCAUUUUAGUGGACCUUGAGAAGGCGGUUUUUGUUCUUAGCCACAGGGGCUACUGACUGGAAACCAUC